ensembl:lncRNA
CUGAGCAGUGUGGAGAGGCAUGCGUCUCCAAAUGUGAUUCUGUUUUAAGAGAGUUGCCAAGUAACAGGAGGACCUGGUAGUCGAUGUCGUCAGAACCCUGCGAGGUGCAUUCCUGGUCCACGGUAUUCUGCGAUGCCUUCACAUCUGAACAAAUCCCAUUUACCUUCACAGUCGAUGAGAUAUGUCCUAAUACCUCUUCCAUGACGCAGACGACAUCACCUGAGAAGAUAUAACUGGAGGGGUCCAGUGGGAAGAUGGUGUGUCGGAUAGAAGAGCCAGCCAGAGGGACCUUUUAGAGGACCAGACGUCCACACGCAGGCCAUGGCUGUUUUCGUUACCUUCACCUCCCCUCACCCUCCUCCUCCUCCUCUUCAUACACCCUUUACCUGCCCAAGUCUUCACCGGGUCCUUUGGUCUCCUCGACCCCCCCGGCAGGCGACCCCUCGCCGCUUCCCCUGAACCAGACUGUGCGGCUCUCCUUCCCUCCCAGGGGUCGCAGCGAUGUGCCUGUCAGACGUCCAAUGCGGGAGAAGUCUGCGACCCCUCAAAUGCCACACACAGCAGCGAUGUCGGAUAGCACCAAGGACUUAUCAGAAGGGCAAAGACUGCCAGACCCCACUAUACACUCAGACACUUUUUCCAUAUCUACCCUAUCCAGCAUGAACCUCAGCAGCAGGCCGGUCCGUGCUCGGCCAACUGGCUCCAGACCAAGGACCGACGCCGCCAGCAUGGGCCUCAGCAGAGCAUCCUCAACGAGGGAGGCGUGGACAAAAGGGCCCCGCCCGACUGUGAUCUCCACGCCCUUAAAUGAAGUGAUUGACUCUGCAGGGUCGGAGCUGGUCAAGGAUGGCAGAGUGGGGAACGGGAGGAAUAAUGAUGGGCAGGAGGUGGGUUCAGUCAGUUCACCAACAACGCUACUCUUGAGAGGGGAGCCACUAGUUUCUUCGGUGACCGUUGGCAACGAAGUAAGCAGGUUCUGGCCGGAGGCGCAGUCUACGGCCGUGGGAGGUUUGUCGCCAGAAAAUGCUGACAUAAAGCCGCUGCCGGACGCCAACCAGACUGAGGAACCCCGCCUGUUGCCCCUGACAACCAGGACUAGCAUCUCCACCACCCCAUCACCGAAGACCCGGGUGACGUUCCCACCCACAAUGAAGCCAACCAGUCCUCAGACUGGGACGUUAUCAGCAUUCAACAUUCCAACCCCAAACAGAACUAAAGGGACCACAAAAGAUUAUGCGACAGUCAGACCAGCAAGAACCCCUCUCUUUAAGCACCCAGUGGCAGUAGGGACUCUGGUUCCUGCCCACAGCCAGACCAAUCCAACACCCGAGGCCAUCACACAGGAGAAAACGACCAUAACUGCAUCAAAAACUAAUGAUAUUAUCCAGGAAGCAACGCAGACAUCCUCCAAAACAACUAGUCCGCCUCCAACAAAAGCAACAACAGAAUCCACACACACAGCCCUGACAACAGUCAAGACAGGUAAUACCUCAUGGAUAUCUUUCAGUAGUUGUUUAAGCAACGGCUGGUUUCGCAAUCUUGACAGAUUUUCCCUGUAGAUAUGUUUGUGUGGACUUAUUUUCACAGCUGGAUUUUUGAAUUUUUGCACCAGUCCAGUACAACCUGGAAAGCCUCAAAGGCAGUACAAGGCAGAGACAAGUAGGGGAGGGUUGGAUGGAAACUUUGGUGGUAGGUGUGUGGGUGAGACAUGAAAGGGGGUUAAACAGUCCAGGGGGAGAGGCGAAUGGCUCGAUAGGGAUAGAAGAGGUGCUAAUGCAGAAAGAGCUUGGCUGGAAUCAAUUCAAAGCCAAAAGAGACUGAACAAACGCAACAGCGGAAAAGAGGUAUAGAGUGAAAGGAAGGGUGUGUUCAGAAGGAAAGUAAAAAGAUGAAACAUUUAAUAGAUGCCGCCAGUUGGCUUUAAAC